GGGUAAUAGAGUUUCCGCCUCUGACCUCCAGGAAUCGUUUCCUCUCCUUGCCUUACUCCCACCUUCGCAGCCAAGAGUCUUCCAGAACUAACAGGGUAGUUGAAAGAUUCACUUUCUCCCUUUUGUCAAUUACAAGGACACUUUUCUGAUAGCUGGCAGUUGAAACCACAAGCAGAUAUAAAGCAUGCAUACCCACGUUUUAGCAAUAAGUGUCAGGUAAGCUAGUACUAUGAUAAUCAAGGUGACUUUAGAAAUCAUUCAAAAUGCAUUUUUGCAAAUUGAGAUAACAUUUUUCAAUAAAAAGCGACUCUCAAAUUAGUAAAGCCUGAGAAAAUUUUAAGAGGAUUCACCAAAGGCAUUGGAUCUGUAUAAUUUUUAGAAUACAGUGUGUUUUAUUUGUAUACUUGUAUACUUCCAACCCCUAUACUUUUCUUUCAAACUCUCUUUGACCUCAAUAGAAAAAUAGUGACUGAAAUUUUAAAGAAGUACAACGUUUUUAUUUUUCAAAUGUUCCACAACAUUGGGAAUUAAAUAUAUUCAACUCUG